ensembl:lncRNA
GCCUCCCCCUGAACGGUAGGACUGGAGGGGGAUCGCAGCCCACACAUGCCAGCGCACAAAGCCCGGCAUUCAUGCAUCGGUCCGCCGUGCUCGACGCCCACUGCUGUGACGGCGUACAGACAGAAAGACGGCCAGCAGGACGGGGAAAGGCAGAGCUGAUGUUCCAUGGAAAGGAAAAACAGGAAUAGCGCUGAAUGAAUAGUACCCUCGACACACCUAGCCGGCGCUGCAGCUCCGGGCUCUGAAGGGUGCAGUGUUCGGGGACAACGCGGCAGUGUUUUGGCCUCAACCGCUUUUAAUCGUGGAGGGAAGUAGAGGUGUAACUGCUACUACGGUCCUGUAGAUCCCGCUGAGUGGAGUGGUGCUCAUACUGGGGAGAGUGUUAAGAAGGUUUGACUUAUUUAAAUAAAGGAGUUUGGAUGCCACACAUCUAACAUCUGACAGGAAUCGGGUCUCUAAUGCAAACAAACCCUUUCUGCUCCCGAGCUGACCGCUAAAAAACGUUGUGAGACGAGUCUUACUCUCGUAAUUGUUUUUCCAGUAGCAGAGCUAAGUUGAGUAAAGAGCUGACGUGUGCUGUGAGGGGAGAAAGGGUGUCGUGCAUCAUGGAACUAUGGAGUCGGGCCUGGUUUUGCCACGAAUGGCAUCACUGGCUUGAAACGCUGGAGUGACCAGGCACACAGAAUAAGACAAUGUUCCUUUGCUAAGUGUUGGCGACCAGAGAAAGGCUCCUUCAUCCGGGGACGAGAUCUCCUGUCACUCCUCUGCUCAUCGGCCCGGGUUCUCCUGCCAAGCUGAGACAGCUCCGAUCCACUGGGUGUGCUUCGGAUGUUUGCGUCUGACGGAAUAAAAAGGGUUCAGUGGUUCCUGUUGCCCCCUUUAACUUCCAUGCCUUCAUUUGUCCAGGGUGGUGGGUAUUAUCUUUAUGCUUGACUGGAUGGUGGGAAACACACACAGUGAGCGAGCGCCUCCCUCCAAGGGGCUGCUGUUAUGGUUCAACAUUCCUUUGACAUUACCUUCUUCUUCUUUCUAAUUUCAGUAGCAGCAGCGUGUGUGUGAGAGCGAGUACUUUACCACCUCUGCCUCAUUUGGGAACAUUUGGGAAUCUCCUUGGUUUGAUUGGUUAAUCACUGAAGAUGAACUGAUCACGCGUGUGCGUGAUGCACAGCUCACAGUUUGAGCAGAUAAGAACUCAGAGUGUCAAUGGCAGGACGUGUUAUGGUUGCAGAGGCCCAGUAGCAGAUUAGCAAGCUGAAGCGAGCCGACCCAAAGCGUCCUCACACUCAUUUUACCAUCAGGGACGGAAGUCAGUUCGUAGAACUCCCAUCGGCUAUCUGUAGUGUGCUAAAUGCAUGAAUAGGUUGUGACGAGCUGUAACCACAACUAUCAGCCAAUGAAUAAUACAUCCCACUUGAAGGUGUGCUCACGUUAACCAGGGUGCUGCAGGUCCUGCUGCUGUCCACAGAGCUGAAGACUAGCAGAGGUUUCCUGCCGCGCAGAGAUGCAGAGAUCACCGUCAUGUACGUUCAGCCCUGAGACUAAAGGGAAGGAGACAGAAGUUCAUCUACCACACACACACACAACAUGGCUUCUGCAGACCUGAGAGAAGCGCUGGCUUUAGCUGCUCCCCGUGCCACAUGGCCCCAUCCAGGGGCCCCAACACACCCAGGAGAUGCUACGUGCUGUGUCUCUUGGGGGUUUAUUGAAAACUUCGACCCACACAUCGCCAACAUCACAUUAAUACGUCUAUCGGCGCUGAGGAGGCAGCGAGGGAUGAAACCAUUACCCGCCGGUGAAGACAAAGCGGCGGGGCAGAUAUGAGCCUGGAGAAGUCCUGGAGAAGUCCUGGAGAAGAAGCAGCCGGUGUUUUUGAAGGUGAUUCAAACCAGAAGCCCCCCGUUCAGAAGCUUGUUUUCUUGUGCUGUGCGGCAGAGCAGAUGGGAGGCCUAUCAGAAGCAUUCCGUGGGGACGUUCUUUUUAAUGCUUGUAUGUGGCUGCUAAUGAGGAUCAAGAGGUCUACGUUCAAAUUAAAAACAAUAAUACAGUGUUUCUUUAAAGGCCACAACCCUGGAGGAGUUCCUGAGAGCCGUCCUGCACAGCGCAGCACGUCACGGCCUUCCAUGCAGUAUUUCAUGUCCCCGUCUGCCCCCUGCAGGCCCUGCUGCUGUGAUUUAGAGCCAGAUGAGAGAGGAGGACGCAGGAGGCCCUGGAUGAAGGAAUGCUUCCACCCUUCCUGAUGUUAACUGCCCCACUGGGAGGAACACCAGCAGGGACCUCUAAGGAUGCGACACUGCAGAGCUUUCACUCAAAACCCCCACGUCAGGUCAUACUUUUUAGAGGUGCUCUAAAUCAGUGGCGCACAACCUCCGAGUCAUUCGUGUGCAAAAUAUAAAAAAUGUUUUGAAUUUGGAAAAAUGGCGGCAUCCUCUCCCAAUUACAUGUGCUUGGUCCUGUUUUUGGUCUGACGCUUUACUGCUUGGUUGUACAAUGUUUUCAUUAUAAUCCUACAAACAACGUAACAGCUUUUGCCUGGUCAGCGUCAGCCAGAACUAUUGCUGUUUGCUUGGGGGUUCAAAUACUUAUUUUCUGCAUCAAAUGCAAAUAAAG